GCAGGCUCCCGCCCUUCCGCGAAGCAGCAGCUCUAAAGAGCUGCUUGUGCUUACCCCGCCGCCGAGACGCGCAAGCGCCAGCCUCUGCCCGCCCCUCGCUGGCUCACGCCACCCGCCUUGCGAGGGCGCCCCCUCAGGCCGGGUCCCUCCCUGCAUCGUCUUGCAGACCGACCUGAUGAUAGGCACCGCGCGGCGGGAGGCUGCCUGGAAGACGGAGAAACCUCCCAGUCCGGCGAAAGCGUGUUCCGGAGCUCAAGAGCAGGUACAAAGAAGGCCCGACGACCCUGAGCCACCACCAGAUGAGCCAGCGGUGGAUCGGUCUAAAGUCGCUUAGGCCUUUAAAGGUUAGCACCACCAGCACUUUGUAUUUUGCCUGGAAACAUGUUAGCAACCAUUGCAUCAAUUUUUAAAACAGUAGUAAUACGGUAUCUCUGAGUUGCCCUGGAGACCAGUCUGGCUGUCGAACUUGGAAUUUCUGGACCAGAGGUGCAGCUAUGUAAUUUUGGAGCUUGGACCUAGAGAUUUAAAAAAAAAAAAAAAUUGGUGGAGGGGGGCUUGCCACAAGAUAGGCAAUUUUGGACCCUGGAUUUAAUGGGCCCUCCCCUUGGCAACAUAAGCAUCCUCUCCAUAUAUAUCUAUAUAUGUAUAUAUAUAUUGUAUUUUAAAGAUGGGAUUUUGAAUAAGAAACUUCCCACUGACCUGCACAUAGCAUAUUUUGCAUGGAUAUAAUGCAAGGAAGCAGAUCGGCUGUCUGCUUGCUUGGCAGCCCUCUCACCCGGCCUAGCCCCAGCGUCUCCACAUGCACCAAGCCUGGCUGAGUCAGUCAGGCAGGCAGGCCAGCAGGCAGUGCAGCACUCAGGCAGCCCUCACUGCCUGCCUAGCCGUCGCUCACACGAGGCAUGCUCAGCCGCCCAGUAUGGCACAGCAGGCAAUCUCGGGCAGCCGAAUUGAGCAUUGGGGGCGCAGGCCUGUGGGUGACCAGAGUUCUUUGGACCAGAAGUUUGAUCCAAAGGGCACCAAUGUUCUGAACAACAUACAAAGGCAGCUCUACAUAAAGCACAUUGCAGUAGUCAAGCCUAGAGAUGACCAGCAAGUGCACCACUGUUUUAAGAUAAUUAUCUUCAAGAAACUGAUGCAGCUGUCCCAUAAGGUGAAGCUGAUAAGAAGCACUCCUCUACAGCCACAGGCUGAGAUACCAAACAGACUUUGAUCCAGGACCACUCCCAUACUGCAUACCUGUUCCUUCUGGGAUUAUUCCUCUGAAAUCUGAAAUUUGUUUUAUGCCUGUUUUAAUAUGUUUUUAUACUUUUAGCAUGAUGUUUUUAUUGUGUUUUUAUUGUAUGUUUUUAACUUUUGUAAACCGUCUUGGGGUUAUCUUUUUAAUGAAAGGCGGUAUAAAAAUGCAAAAAUAAAUAAAUAAAUAAAUAAAUAAAUAAAUAAACACA